GUGCAGCAGGCGCGAAACCUCCGCAAUGCGGGCAACCGCGACGGGGCUACCCCGAGUGCCGGGCGAAGAGCCCGGCUUUUGCCCGGUCUAAAAAGCCGGGAGAAUAAGCGGGGGGCAAGUCUGGUGUCAGCCGCCGCGGUAAUACCAGCUCCGCGAGUGGUCGGGGUGUUUACUGGGCUUAAAGCGCCCGUAGCCGGCCCGGCAAGUCGCUCCUGAAAUCCCCGGGCUCAACCCGGGGGCGGGGGGCAAUACUGCCGGGCUAGGGGGCGGGAGAGGCCGCCGGUACUCCGGGGGUAGGGGCGAAAUCCGUUAAUCCCCGGAGGACCACCAGUGGCGAAAGCGGGCGGCCAGAACGCGCCCGACGGUGAGGGGCGAAAGCCGGGGGAGCAAAGGGGAUUAGAUACCCCUGUAGUCCCGGCCGUAAACGAUGCGGGCUAGCUGUCGGCCGGGCUUAGGGCCCGGCCGGUGGCGAAGGGAAACCGUUAAGCCCGCCGCCUGGGGAGUACGGCCGCAAGGCUGAAACUUAAAGGAAUUGGCGGGGGAGCAC
rnacentral:rRNA from 1 species